CUCUCUCUUACUCUCAUUCCUUCGUUUUCUUUUUUUUCAAACGCAGCCAUCGCAGCCAUCGCCGCUGCCACUACCACAGUCGUAGCCACGACCGCCUCUUCCAUCACAACCGCAGCCCCUUCCACUGUACUACUUCCUUCCUCCCUUCUCUCAUUCCUAAUUUUUUCUUUCCUAAACACAACUGCCGCAGAUGCAGCCGCCACCACCGCAACCGCAACCUCUUCUUCUUUCCCUUUCCUUUCUUUCUCUUUCCCAAAAGCAGCUGCUGCAGCCACCACCGCUGCCGCAGCUACCGCAGCCAACGUCGCAGCCGCAGCUGCAGUCGCAGCCACAGCCGCAGCCACCACAGCCACUGCCUCUUCUUCCUCCCCUGCUUUGUUUCCUCUCCUUCUCUUCCAACUGCAGCUGCCACUGCCGCAGCUGCC
rnacentral:lncRNA from 1 species